UACGUAGGGCGCAAGCGUUGUCCGGAAUUAUUGGGCGUAAAGAGCUCGUAGGCGGUUUGUCGCGUCUGCCGUGAAAACCCGAGGCUUAACCUCGUGGCUUGCGGUGGAUACGGGCAGACUAGAGGUAGGUAGGGGAGAAUGGAAUUCCCGGUGUAGCGGUGAAAUGCGCAGAUAUCAGGAGGAACACCGGUGGCGAAGGCGGCCCGCUGGGAUCCUUGCUGACGCUGAGGCGCGACAGCGUGGGGAGCAAACAGG
rnacentral:rRNA from 1 species